rnacentral:rRNA from 1 species
CCUACGGGGGGCAGCAGUCGAGAAUCAUUCACAAUGGGGGAAACCCUGAUGGUGCGACGCCGCGUGGGGGAAUGAAGGUCUUCGGAUUGUAAACCCCUGUCAUGUGGGAGCAAAUUAAAAAGAUAGUACCACAAGAGGAAGAGACGGCUAACUCUGUGCCAGCAGCCGCGGUAAUACAGAGGUCUCAAGCGUUGUUCGGAAUCACUGGGCGUAAAGCGUGCGUAGGCUGUUUCGUAAGUCGUGUGUGAAAGGCGCGGGCUCAACCCGCGGACGGCACAUGAUACUGCGAGACUAGAGUAAGGGAGGGGGAACCGGAAUUCUCGGUGUAGCAGUGAAAUGCGUAGAGAUCGAGAGGAACACUCGUGGCGAAGGCGGGUUCCUGGACAUUAACUGACGCUGAGGCACGAAGGCCAGGGGAGCGAAAGGGAUUAGAUACCCUAGUAGUC